rfam:Gossypium arboreum cultivar AKA8401 contig_35925_1, whole genome shotgun sequence.
AAUGGACAGGACAAAGGGUCAUGAUCCCGUGAGGGUGAGCUAACUCUAAAAACCUGUCCUCAGUUCGGAUUGCAGGUUGCAACUCGCCUGCAUGAAG